AGUGAACGCUGGCGGUAGGCCUAACACAUGCAAGUCGAACGGCAGCACAGUAAGAGCUUGCUCUUACGGGUGGCGAGUGGCGGACGGGUGAGGAAUACAUCGGAAUCUACUUUUUCGUGGGGGAUAACGUAGGGAAACUUACGCUAAUACCGCAUACGACCUGCGGGUGAAAGCAGGGGAUCUUCGGACCUUGCGCGAUUGAAUGAGCCGAUGUCGGAUUAGCUAGUUGGCGGGGUAAAGGCCCACCAAGGCGACGAUCCGUAGCUGGUCUGAGAGGAUGAUCAGACACCUGGGAAGUGAGACACGUCCGCGACUCCUAGGCUAGGCCGCAGUGGGGAAUAUUGGACAAUGGGGGAAAGCCUGAUCCAGCCAUACCGCGUGAGUGAAGAAGGCCUUCGGGUUGUAGAGCCAUUUUGUUGGGAAAGAAAAACAGCAGGUUAAUAUCCCGCUGUUCUGACGGUACCAAAAGAAUAAGCACCGGCUAACUUCGUG
rnacentral:rRNA from 1 species